AUACGUAACCGGAACGGACGAUACUACGAUAAUAUAUUGAACCGCAUGGUUCAAUAGUGAAAGACGGUUUUGCUGUCACUUAUAGAUGGAUCCGCGCCGCAUUAGCUAGUUGGUAAGGUAACGGCUUACCAAGGCAACGAUGCGUAGCCGACCUGAGAGGGUGAUCGGCCACACUGGAACUGAGACACGGUCCAGACUCCUACGGGAGGCAGCAGCC
rnacentral:rRNA from 1 species